GAAAAUCCAGCCAAAAGUGAUUCAAGAAAGAAAGAAAGAAAGAAAAAAAAAAAACAAUGAAUGCACCUAGCUCGAAUGCACCUUGCUCACUUUUGAUUCUCCUCUUGUUUAGUCUGACAAUGACCGUUGGACUAAACUAUGCUCGCUAUUCCAUUUUCUGUCUCUUAUUGCUGAAUU
rnacentral:ribozyme from 11 species